AGUGAACGCUGGCGGUAGGCCUAACACAUGCAAGUCGAACGGCAGCACAGUAAGAGCUUGCUCUUACGGGUGGCGAGUGGCGGACGGGUGAGGAAUACAUCGGAAUCUACUUUUUCGUGGGGGAUAACGUAGGGAAACUUACGCUAAUACCGCAUACGACCUACGGGUGAAAGCAGGGGAUCUUCGGACCUUGCGCGAUUGAAUGAGCCGAUGUCGGAUUAGCUAUUUGGCGGGGUAAAGGCCCACCAAGGCGACGAUCCGUAGCUGGUCUGAGAGGAUGAUCAGCCACACUGGAACUGAGACAUGGUCCAGACUCCUACGGGAGGCAGCAGUGGGGAAUAUUGGACAAUGGGCGCAAGCCUGAUCCAGCCAUACCGCGUGGGUGAAGAAGGCCUUCGGGUUGUAAAGCCCUUUUGUUGGGAAAGAAAAGCAGCAGGUUAAUACCCCGCUGUUCUGACGGUACCCAAAGAAUAAGCACCGGCUAACUUCGUG
rnacentral:rRNA from 1 species